rfam:Oryza sativa Japonica Group DNA, chromosome 6, cultivar: Nipponbare, complete sequence.
AAAGACUCAAUUUAUAGGUUUUCGUGUCUAACGUUUGACCGUCCGUCUUAUUUGAAAAUAUUAUAAAAAAAAUUAAAAAGAUAAAUCACACAUAAAAUAUUAUUCAUGAUUUAUCAUCUAACAACAAUGAAAAUACUAAUUAUAAAAAAAUUUCAUAUAAGACGGACAGUCAAACGUUAAACACAAAAACUCAGG